GCUUUUCCAGACUGUGAAGGAAAACACCUCAACCUUUUGAGCCUAUGCCUAUGGUUUUCCCAUCCAAAAUGACCCUCUCAAGAAGGAUCUGAGAAAAGAAGACACUGAGGGAAAUGUCAGGAAAGAACCAGCAGACCUAAACAAGAGCUUUGUAAACUUCUGUAAGAGGAUCCAAGAAGUCCCACAACCAGAGUUCAAGGGGAAAAUUCUGGCCAGAACACCUGACUGGCUUGACACAGAUCGUUUUUGCACAAGAAGCUGCCUGGGGCAUGAACAGAAGGUUGUUUUGUUUUGUUUUAUAAAGGACUACUCCUGAUUAAUGAAAAUGGAAGACACAUGACCAAAAAGUCACCUUUCCGGAGAAAAGUUAAGUCCGCAUUCCUCUGGCAGUUUCAAAUCCCAUCACCCUCGCUUUCACGGAGGACUGCCUUCUCUGAAGGCAUCUUUGCCAGGUCUGAGGCUGGCCAAGGAGUAUUCCUUUGCCUUUACCAAGGAGUGUUCCUGGACAGCAAGCUAUUUCACCUCUUUUCCUCCUCACUUAGAAAUAUGCAAUGUUUCAGAAGCAUGACGGCCCGAGAGGAUCAGUGUUGUGGAGAGGGUCCAGCAAUACCGUUUCAGUGGAUUCUAGAGAGCCUUCAGAGGAGAACUAAGAAAACCAGACUUUGCGUCAAUUGUGUGAACAGUCUGUCUCCCAUCAGAAAAUGGGAACUGCUGCCCUGAGGACUGAACGAGUUUGUGCAGGAAGGGCCUGGCAGAGAGCCCAGUGCAGGUGCUCAACUAACCCAGGAUCCUUCCAACUAACCCAUUCCUGGCAUGGGGAGCUCAUGGCUCAUGGGAACCUUAAAAACCAUCUACUGAAGGAGCAGAGUGAGAGGAAUGUGCUGUGAUCCCAGUCCUCUACUGGGGUUCACACCUUUUCUACAAUUGCCCAUUUUCUGAACUCAGCUCUGAAAUGAGCUAUUAUUCUGCUUCACUCUUCUUCAUAUUAUCCAAAAUAAUUCAAUGUCCACCUUUUCCUUUGGGAAAAUCAAAGGUUGACAUGGCUACCUUUUGAACUCAAGCUGUUAAAGAUCCCUUUCUUCUGUUCAAAAAGUUUUACUGAUUUUGAAAGGUCUUAUUGAUAAAACACAAGAGAAACUCAGGGGAAAAGGACAAAGAGAAAGAAGAAGAAAGAAAAAGAAUAAAGAGGACAGAAAAGAAAGAGGAGGAAGAGAGCCCAAGAGGAGCAGAAAGAGGCAAAAGGCUAUUGAAUGCAUAAUUGCCAAUAGUCUUAGCAACUGGCUCAUGUAACAGUCAUGGAGCAUUAUUUUUAAAAACCAAGGGGGAAAAUAUUUACAUAAAAUCCAAAGGAUAUAUGCUCUCCGUUAAAUGCUGUAAAAUGACAAUGUAUUCAAUUCAUUAAUUCAUGAAUUAGUCUGUGUGAUGUUUACUUCUGGCAUCAUUAGCAUUUCUGAGCUGAAUAUUUAAGAGAACAAGGGAGAAAUUUAAGGACUUAAGAUAGAAGUGAAAAAUAUUUUUUUCUAUUUUUGUCCUUUCAUUUGUGUGCUUUGGCUAUGUUUGUACAGCAUUAAUGAGAUUCGGGGUCUGGGCUGAAUGAAAUGAGUGGCACAAAACCUUCCAAACGCCCCUUGAAGGCCUCUGCCUCCCAGGUAUGUGUAAAAGUCACAGGAAUUUUGAACAAUUUUUUAAUUGUCCUUAUAAAUGAUAGUUUCAAAAGCAGAGAUGUCAUAAUAAACACAUAUUGAGAGUAAAUUAGACCUUAAUUAUGUUUAUCAAGUUUUAUAUCCUAAUUAAAAGCAGAAUCACAAUAAACAUGACUUACCAGCAGAAUUAACUCUGCCACAAUUGUCUACUCUUCCCAAACAUUCUUUGUGUGCUCUCGCGCCACACUUAAAACAUAAAUAGCCUUGAUAAAAUGUUCCUCUGAAAGGUAAAAUUAGAGAGUGAUUAUGUUAAAAGGUGUUAAAAUCUGCCUAUAUGGAAUCACAAAAGAAAGAAAACAGGGGAACACAGUGCUCUGCAAAGUCUUUUAGCAGAGGGAGAGGGUUUCCUGGUUCCAAAGGAAGGAUCCAGGCACAAGGCUGAGGAAAGGUCUGUGGACUCAAAACUGUCAAGGCCAUCUCCCCACUUCCAAACAUUUUGGCUGGGAUAUUAGAAAAGUAGGAAACAUGGAGCAAUUAUACCAGCUCCUUUAAACUGAAACACGGGACCCUGCGAGCUUACCUCAAGAGCAUCUGGCAGACUUUGCAGGAUGUAACCCGAUUGAAGGUGUGCAUCUUGAACUCAUGGAAAUUGGAGUCUGCAUAGUCUGGCCUUAUGUUUGAUCUAUAAAAAGGGGAAAAAAAAGUAACUUCCUAAAGAAAGUUUCACAACCAAAUAGCAGUUUAAUCAUCUAAAACCUAAAUUCAUCAACAUCACAUUGGGUAGAGAUCUGAUUCAAGCAAAAAGGGUAUUAAAUAUGCAAUGUUCUCUAAGCCAAAAGUAGGCUUUGCAUUAAAAUAUAUACCAAAAUCUGGUUGUGUGCAAAGCAGCAACACAUAAGGAUUUAAGCAAACUAAUCCUCCUCAGAAUUGAGGAUUCCCUGAGAACAUUACAGAAUGGCCACAUAGGUCAACCUGCCAGGAAAAACACAAAAACCUGCUGGAUAUUCAUGCUGUGUGAUAGUUUCUCUA